rnacentral:tRNA from 2 species
GGAGAGGUGCUCCGAAUGGUAAGGAACUUGUUUUGAAAACAAGCGCCCGCAAGGGCAUGCAGGUUCGACUCCUGUCCUCUCCGCCA